rnacentral:lncRNA from 1 species
GAUGAACCCGGGCUGGCGGUUAGAUUGCAAUGGGGAGCCAGGCGUCUCGAGGGGACAGGCGUCUGCUGCAGUCAAGUGGCCCGGGCUCGAGGGAGCCCUCGUUCUGGAUCGCCGGCCAGGGCUGUCCUUGCCGCGCUGGAAGGGUCGCCUCCGGAAAAAGCCAGAGAGGGACUGCGAAGCCUCAGCGAGAUGCUUUGGGGAGGGGGGGGGGUGGGUUCUCUUCCUUCCCAGGGAGUUAGUUGGUGGAGCCGUGAGUCAGAAGACAUAGGCAGGGUUUGGGGACCCUUCUUGAACAGUGAUUAGCACCCCGUCCCUCCCUGUAAGACCUCUUGGACUCUUUAGAGUUGUGUAAAGCCUGAAGCGAUCUGGGAUAUUGUUUUAAAAGAGGGCCACCUUCAUCCACUAACAGAAACUGUGGCGUGUCUGUGUUGGAACGAGGGAAUGCUGGCUCUGUUAGGGCACAUAAGAAUCAUUAGGUGCAUUGGUUAAAAUUUAAGUUGUCUUCCUCUCCCAUUCUGACUUUGUUAAUAAACACCAGCUAAUUCUC